AUAAGCCAAUGGUGCGAAGCUACCAUCUGAGGGAUUAUUACUGAACGCCUCUAAGUCAGAAUCCCGCCUGGAAAGCGACGAUGCAUUCGUGCCUCGGCCUCGAGAGGCGUAGCUAGACGGCCGUGUGGCCGUGGAAAGAGCCCGAUUCCGACCCGAGAGGCCGCGGCAAGAGGCGGCCUCGAAGUCGGUGGAUCCUCCUGCUCGAAAGGCGGGGUGCUAAACCAUUCGCAGACGACCUAGUUGAAGAUCGGGGUGUCGUGAUCACUAGAGCAGUACAUCUCACUGCGAUUUGUUGAGAGUAAGCCUCAAGAUCUGUCGGUUUGU
rnacentral:ncRNA from 1 species